AGAGUUUGAUCAUGGCUCAGAUUGAACGCUGGCGGCAGGCCUAACACAUGCAAGUCGAACGGUAACAGGAAGCAGCUUGCUGCUUCGCUGACGAGUGGCGGACGGGUGAGUAAUGUCUGGGAAACUGCCUGAUGGAGGGGGAUAACUACUGGAAAC
rnacentral:rRNA from 1 species